rnacentral:rRNA from 1 species
GACGAACGCUGGCGGCGUGCUUAACACAUGCAAGUCGAACGGAAAGGCCCUGCUUUUGUGGGGUGCUCGAGUGGCGAACGGGUGAGUAGCACGUGAGUAACCUGCCCUUGACUUUGGGGUAACUUCAGGAAACUGGGGCUAAUACCGGAUAGGAGCUCCUGCUGCAUGGUGGGGGUUGGAAAGUUUCGGCGGUUGGGGAUGGACUCGCGGCUUAUCAGCUUGUUGGUGGGGUAGUGGCUUACCAAGGCUUUGACGGGUAGCCGGCCUGAGAGGGUGACCGGCCACAUUGGGACUGAGAUACGGCCCAGACUCCUACGGGAGGCAGCAGUGGGGAAUAUUGCACAAUGGGCGGAAGCCUGAUGCAGCAACGCCGCGUGCGGGAUGACGGCCUUCGGGUUGUAAACCGCUUUCGCCUGUGACGAAGCGUGAGUGACGGUAAUGGGUAAAGAAGCACCGGCUAACUACGUG